rnacentral:rRNA from 1 species
UGCCAGCCGCCGCGGUAAUACGAAGGGGGCAAGCGUUGUUCGGAAUUACUGGGCGUAAAGCGUGCGUAGGUGGAUUUGCAAGUUAGGAGUGAAAGCCCAGGGCUCAACCCUGGAAUUGCUCUUAAAACUGCAUUUCUUGAAUUCGGGAGAGGAUAGUGGAAUACCCAGUGUAGAGGUGAAAUUCGUAGAUAUUGGGUGGAACACCAGUGGCGAAGGCGACUAUCUGGACCGACAUUGACACUGAGGCACGAAAGCGUGGGGAGCAAACAGGAUUAGAUA